rnacentral:rRNA from 1 species
GUGGGGAAUAUUGGACAAUGGGCGAAAGCCUGAUCCAGCCAUGCCGCGUGUGUGAAGAAGGUCUUCGGAUUGUAAAGCACUUUAAGUUGGGAGGAAGGGCAGUAAGUUAAUACCUUGCUGUUUUGACGUUACCGACAGAAUAAGCACCGGCUAACUUCGUGCCAGCAGCCGCGGUAAUACGAAGGGUGCAAGCGUUAAUCGGAAUUACUGGGCGUAAAGCGCGCGUAGGUGGUUCAGCAAGUUGGAGGUGAAAUCCCCGGGCUCAACCUGGGAACUGCCUCCAAAACUACUGAGCUAGAGUACGGUAGAGGGUAGUGGAAUUCCCUGUGUAGCGGUGAAAUGCGUAGAUAUAGGAAGGAACACCAGUGGCGAAGGCGACUACCUGGACUGAUACUGACACUGAGGUGCGAAAGCGUGGGGAGCAAACAGGAUUAGAAACCCCGGUAGUCC